rnacentral:rRNA from 1 species
UACCAGCACCCCGAGUGGUCGGGACGUUUAUUGGGCCUAAAGCAUCCGUAGCCGGUUCUGCAAGUCUUCCGUUAAAUCCACCUGCUUAACAGAUGGGCCGCGGAAGAUACUAUAGAGCUAGGAGGCGGGAGAGGCAAGCGGUACUCGAUGGGUAGGGGUAAAAUCCGUUGAUCCAUUGAAGACCACCAGUGGCGAAGGCGGCUUGCCAGAACGCGCUCGACGGUGAGGGAUGAAAGCGUGGGUAGCGAACGGG